rnacentral:rRNA from 1 species
UACGUAGGGUGCGAGCGUUAAUCGGAAUUACUGGGCGUAAAGUGUGCGCAGGUGGCUUCGCAAGUCGAGUGUGAAAUCCCCGGGCUUAACCUGGGAAUUGCGCUCGAAACUACGGAGCUGGAGUAUGGCAGAGGGAGGUGGAAUUCCACGUGUAGCGGUGAAAUGCGUAGAGAUGUGGAGGAACACCAAUGGCGAAGGCAGCCUCCUGGGCCAAUACUGACACUCAUGCACGAAAGCGUGGGGAGCAACCAGG